rnacentral:rRNA from 1 species
GACGAACGCUGGCGGCGUGCCUAAUACAUGCAAGUUGAGCGAUGAAGAUUGGUGCUUGCACCAAUUUGAAGAGCAGCGAACGGGUGAGUAACGCGUGGGGAAUCUGCCUUUGAGCGGGGGACAACAUUUGGAAACGAAUGCUAAUACCGCAUAACAACUUUAAACAUAAGUUUUAAGUUUGAAAGAUGCAAUUGCAUCACUCAAAGAUGAUCCCGCGUUGUAUUAGCUAGUUGGUGAGGUAAAGGCUCACCAAGGCGAUGAUACAUAGCCGACCUGAGAGGGUGAUCGGCCACAUUGGGACUGAGACACGGCCCAAACUCCUACGGGAGGCAGCAGUAGGGAAUCUUCGGCAAUGGACGAAAGUCUGGCCGAGCAACGCCGCGUGAGUGAAGAAGGGUUUCGGAUCGUAAAACUCUGUUGGUAGAGAAGAACGUUGGUGAGAGUGGAAAGCUCAUCAAGUGACGGUAACUACCCAGAAAGGGACGGCUAACUACGUG